UCCCUGGUGGCUCAGAGGUUAAAGCAUCUGCCUGCAAUGCAGGAGGCCUGGGUUCGAUCCCUGGGUUGGGAA
rnacentral:tRNA from 1 species